GGAUAUGGCUCUUCUGAAUAAUCUAAGAAAAUGUUAAAAAACUAUUAAUUGACCUAACAUGAAAGUUCAUGCUCUAUCUAAAUUAAAAGUAAGAGCCAUGGCUGUGACACGCAAAAAAGACAAUGUUACAACUGGAGCAUCUUAUUAGCACUCUUUGAAUUUGAGACCCAAAACAGCAACUUUUGUCAGCUACCAAUUUGGUAUGAAA
rnacentral:misc_RNA from 1 species